UAGGCUUUCUUUUUGGCUGCCAGGAAGACAUUAUACACUUCAAAACAAAAUUAAUUAAAGCCGAAAUUCAAACUAAAUCAUAUACACAGAACCAAAAAUUUAAAAGAUUUUCCCUAAAACAAAAGUGAGGCAAAAUGGUGCGGAGACGACGGCCUAAGAGAUCCAGGAGAACUGCCGAAUUGGAUCCAUUGAGGGAAUUCCUUGAACCCUAUUUGGUCGAUGAUCCUGAACUUCAGGAAUUACUGCCGGAGAUUUUGCGUAUGCUUCAUGAAAUUCCCGAUGCAGCAUAGUUCAUAAUUUCCCACAAAUUUGCUUUCCUCUUUUUAUAGAGUACACACAAAACUACUUUCGAUGUCGCCAUUAGCAGACUUUUCUUGGUUUGGAAAAUUUUUGUGCAGUUCGGACGUUUGUUGAGCACCAGGGGGGAGGCGGGAUGGAGGCUCGGCUGGAAGGUUAUAUAAUAACAGGCCAUGGAGAGAAGCUACCGCCACAGCAUCUGUCUUUGGGUGCAAUCAACCUGAAAUUGGAAUGCCAUGCGAUUGGAAUUCGUUACCAAAUAUUGAUGACAGUAAUAGCCCCAGGAGCAUGCCGCCAAGUCUUUUUUCUGAGCGUUAGGAAUCACUUUACAUAAUCGUUGAAGAGAAGCUACUACUGAAGCCGCCAAUAAAAUCCGCGAAACUACCAAGUUACGCAGACUCCAAAUUGGGAGAAAAACGCCCCACAAAUUGCGACUUGUUGCCGCCGCCUCCGCCGCCGUUGGCCUAAUUACAGUAGUUGGCCAAAAGCCUAUGUGGGUUGGAUGCUGUUGGCAUGGGCGAGAGAGCGUGGGCGUGGGCGAUAUCCAGGCGCCACAAUUAAGAUGCGGUUCCAAAAGCGCCACCUUUCACGGGAAUGCCUCAAGGGGCAGGCUGGCUAACUGUCUGGUGGUUUUCUUUAACCUCAAUGUUCUCUGAUUUUGGCGAAAACAAUGUGUACCUUCAUUAAUUUUGAUUUAAUUAAAUACAGGUCGUGUUUAGAAUUA